UACGGAGGGUGCAAGCGUUAAUCGGAAUUACUGGGCGUAAAGCGCACGCAGGUGGCUGAGUCAGUCGAUUGUGAAGCCCUGGGCUUAACCUGGGAAUGCAGUCGAUACUACUCAGCUAGAGUAUGGGAGAGGGUAGUGGAAGUUCCCGGUGGUAGCGGUGAAAUGCGUAGAUAUCGGGAGGAACAUCAGUGGCCGAAGGCGGCUACCUGGCCCAA
rnacentral:rRNA from 1 species